GGAAGUUAUAAUCAACAUGGCGGAUAGCAAAACAUUAGGUAACUAAUAUUUCAGGAAAUUUACCUUACCUACAUAAAUGGCAAAAUGUUCGAAAGUGAUCACACCAUUGCCAAUAACCAUCUUGAAUUCAAAAAACUUUCAAGAAACCAACGUCAGAAUCUUCGGAUAAUAUAAAGAGAAAAUAAGGAACAACAUUAUAAAUAAGCUCCGAGGACAUAAAACCCUCUCGAAUAACCGGCAGAAUAUAAAAGGAUGAAAAUCUAAAACUCGCUUUCUAUUAUGACGUUUAUUAUGAAC
rnacentral:lncRNA from 1 species